UAGAGCACCUAUAAACAUCUGGAGCAUUAAUGUUCUGUUGAACACAGAUUGGGAAGCUAAGUACUGGAAAACACAGCAAAGGAGUCAGUAGAGAUAUUCGCCAGGAAAGAGGAAAGAGUUAUUUCAUGGAAAGCCUUUAGCUUUUUUCUGUGAAAACUAAGGACAAUUAAAUGUAGGGGGAAAACAAGAAGAUGAAAACUGUGAUGCUUAUGGAGUUCACUGCAACAAGAAU
rnacentral:lncRNA from 1 species